GAAAUUUAUUUCCUUAUAGAACUGGAGGCUAGAAGUCUCAGAUCAAGAUGCUUUUUGGUGAGGACUCUCUUCCUGACUUGUAGACAACCACCAUCUUGCUGUGUGCUCACAUGACUUUUUUGUGCAAACAAGCAGAGGUAUGGGAAGAUCUCUGGUGUCUUUUCCUGUAAGGACACUAAUCCCAUUGGAUUAGGAUCCCACCCUUAAUGAUUUACUUAAAGGACUCAUCUCCAAAUAUAGCCAUAUGGGGGUUAGGGCAUCAACAUAUAAAUUGGGUGGGGAGUAGGGGUGUGGGGGAGCACAUAGUCCAUAAUAGUAGCAUUCUAGAUUAUCUCUCUAUAUUCCAGAGUUCUGAUUCUCUCUUUGGGUGUAUGCUCUAUUCUGAGAGAUCUUACAUUCUAGUGUGGAGACAGAGACAAAUAACAUAAUAUUAAAUAGAACAUAUAGUUAUAUUAGUCCUGAUGCAUACUGGAGAGAGAUUAAAGUGUUGUAUGUAUUUGAGAGGGGGUUACAACUUGGGGGUCUGGCAAUGGAAUCACUGGGAAGGUGACAUUUAAGAAAAUCUCAAAGAAGGUAAGGAAAUGAGUAACACAGAUAAAUAGGGAAAAUUGUUCUAGGAAGAGGGAAUAUCUAGGGCAGAGGUCUGGAGGAUGAAAUGCUCCUGAGGUGUUUGAGCAACAAAGUACAGUCAGAGUGGAUGGAAAGGAGUGAGCAAGGGAAAGAGGUAGAGAGGUAACAAGCACUAGGCCAUAAGCAAGCUAAAAUUAGUACAGUCCACCCAGUUAACAAUCCAAACUAUGUUUUCAUUUCAGGAGGCCGUGGUAAGAACUUUGACUCCGGUGUUGAAGAAGAGAGGGGAUCAUGGAGGGAUUCGAAAAGAGAAGUGGUUUGCUUUGAUUCCACAGCUUGAUUCAAGUUGCUAGAUGGAAUAUCAAUUGGGAGGAGCUGAGACAGAGCAGGAAGCAGCACAUAGAGACCCCAGGGAGCACUAGCAUUCUCGUGAGGAGGAUCAAGACAAACUUCAGACUUUUAAUCUUAGAAGAUACUUCAAAAAGCUGAGAUAGUUGGGACUCCUGGGUGGCUCAGUCGGUUAAGUGUUUGCCUUUGGCUCAGGUCUUGAUCCUGGAGUCCUGGGAUAGAGUCCCACAUAGGGUUCCCUGCUCGACGAGGAGUCUGGUUCUCCCUCUGGCUGCUGCUCCCCCUGCUUGUGCGCACUCUCUCCAGUCUCUCUGAUAAAUACAUACACAUACAUAAAUAUCUUUAAAAAAUAACAAAGAAAAGCUGUCAUCAACACAGAGAGCAGCUGCUUGACUAUCUUGACGUAGAAAUGAAAGGGGUAGGUCUUAGAAGGUUGAGGUCUCUGAGGAGGUCAGAAAAUUUAGCCUCUUCCCAACUGUGUUCCAAACCAAUGGAGAAAUAAGACAAGAGGUAUGCAGAGAAAGGCCAAAACAUCAACUCUAUGAUGGAGUCAAGUCUAGGUUGGAAGAAGUGGUUUCGUGUUGGGGCAAUGGACUUUGUAACUGAAUCUGAGCAUUAGACAGAUGUACCUUCCCAGUGCAGAAGAUACUGGACUAUCUCAGGCCUCCUCCAGUGAGGGCAGGACAUUGUUGUUAAGCCUACAGCACCAGGAGCCAGGAGCAGCGAAUGUGAGCUCCACACAGGCAAACUAGGUUUCCAAGAAUGAAAAGUGUAGGGAGGGGCUGAGCUGAGCUUGAAUCAGAGACCAAAAACCAUACUAAUUCAGUUCCAAGAAGAGGUGAGUACAUUUCCUCUUAACAUUACCCAACUUUUUAUUCUGCUGACCUCUCAAGUUUAAUGAUUGAUGUCCUGUAUAAUUUAAAUUCUUCAGUAUAGGCUCUGUGAUGUAACUAUGUUCUUUAAUCUACAUUCUGAGUAUUCAAUUUUCCUAAUUCAGAAAUAUACACUCCAGGAGUCAUUGGGCUACUAAACGUGCUUCAGCUCUCUUAAUGUCUGAUUAGCAACAGAAGCUCUGGUAAUUAGAUAAAUGGAUGUCAUCAGUCAAAUGACAGGUAUACAAGAUGUGGGCUGGAAAUUAUAGACAAUUCCACUGUUACUAAAAUUUUAGUGAUAGUGGAUAACAACCCAUUAAAUAAAAUUUCAUGAGUUCAUACUGAAACAAAGCUCUCCCUUAUAAUAGAAAUGAAACAAUAAAAAUAAAUGAUUGAAUUAUAAACUCAUCAAUGUUACCUGAAAUAGUGGGUGUGUUUCCUGACAAACUGUGUAUUUACAUAGUCUCAAAGUAUCUUCCUGGUGAUGGAUUAUUAAUCAUGUGAGGGUGAAAGUAGUGACUUUAUAGUGAAGAACCUUAGAGUGCCCCAUUGUAACCAAGCCAUCAAAAUUAAUAUCACCCAGUAUUGGGGCAAACCAUUGUCACGUGCUUAGCAGUAGGCUGCACGGCAUCACUUCUGUAUCAUUCCUGCCAAAAAUGUAUAACCUUAAUUUAUUCAUGAGGAGAUGGCAGGCAAAACCAAAAUGAGGAAUAGUCUACAAACUAACUAGUCUUUACUCUUCAAAAAUGUCAAGGUGGACAAAGGCAAAAAUGACUGGGAAGCGGUCCCAGGUUCAAGGAGAAGGAGAGAUUUCAUGAUCCUGCAACCUGGAAAGGAUCCUAUACCAAGACAAAAAAUAGGUCUGAAACAACAUUAUGAAGGAUAGGAGGUCCCAUGGAGCUGCAGGAAUGAACAGAUAAAAGGCUGAAAACACAGGUCCUCUUCACUAGAGCAAAAUGCCCUACUCCCAUCCUUGUAGUCAGGAGCUUGGGCAAGGUGAUUUUCCACCAGAGGGAGCACUGUUGGCCAUGUUUGUCCCUGGGAUAAGACAAAGGGAACCUUCAGAGCCCACUUCCAUGUGUAUCUGAAGGAGACGUGCAAUGAAGAGGACAAAGAACAAUCUCAUUUCUUGGCCAAGAUGAAAGGAAGGCAAUAUGGGUACCUUUGUAGUAGCACCAAGUUACAGAUCUCCACGUCUUCCCAAUUCUCUUAGGAAUCUUUAUCUGUACAAAGGCGGCAAGGAGGAACCAAUUAAAUAUGGAACAUACUCAGACAUCUGGGCAGGUAAUUAAAACCAGCUACUGAUUCAGUCAUUCUGCUUAUUUCUUCAAUUUCCUUUCUAUUUUAGAA